CGCUGGCGGCGUGCCUAAUACAUGCAAGUCGAACGGUCUUUCUAUGGAAGCUUGCUUCCACUGAGAAGAUAGUGGCGAACGGGUGAGUAACACGUGGGUAACCUGCCCAUAAGAGGGGGAUAACAUCCGGAAACGGGUGCUAAUACCGCAUAGUUUCUUGAUCGCAUGAUCGGGAAAGGAAAGACGGCCUUUGUGCUGUCGCUUAUGGAUGGACCCGCGGCGUAUUAGUUAGUUGGUGAGGUAACGGCUCACCAAGACGAUGAUACGUAGCCGACCUGAGAGGGUGAUCGGCCACAUUGGGACUGAGACACGGCCCAAACUCCUACGGGAGGCAGCAGUAGGGAAUCUUCCGCAAUGGACGAAAGUCUGACGGAGCAACGCCGCGUGAGUGAAGAAAGGUUUUCGGAUCGUAAAACUCUGUUGUCAGAGAAGAAUAAGUUGGAGAGUAACUGCUCCAGCCUUGACGGUAUCUGACCAGAAAGCCACGGCUAACUACGUGCCAGCCGCCGC
rnacentral:rRNA from 1 species